rnacentral:ncRNA from 2 species
UUGUAUUAGUUUUAUGAAGGUACUACUAUAUGUAGUUUAAAAGGGAAGUUUGGUGAGAUCCCAACGCUGUCCCCGCAACUGUAAAGCUGACGAAGAUUCAAAUCCACUGUGUGACUUUCACAUGGGAAGGGAAUCGGAGGUUGAAGCAAAGCCAGGAGACCUGCCUUAUAAAGCCGAUCAAU